UACGUAGGGGGCAAGCGUUGUCCGGAUUUAUUGGGCGUAAAAGGCUUGUAGGUGGCCACGCCAAGUCGGAUGUGAAAUCUCCCGGCUCAACUGGGAGGGGUCAUUCGAUACUGGCGGGCUCGAGGCCGGUAGGGGGAAGUGGAAUUCCCGGUGUAGUGGUGGAAUGCGUAGAUAUCGGGAGGAACACCAAUGGCGAAGGCGCCUAUCUGGCUGACAACUGACGCUGAAACUCGAAAGCAUGGGGAGCAAACAGG
rnacentral:rRNA from 1 species